rnacentral:rRNA from 1 species
UGGGGGAUAUUGCACAAUGGGCGAAAGCCUGAUGCAGCGACGCCGCGUGGGGGAUGAAGGCCUUCGGGUUGUAAACUUCUUUUGCUCUGAACAAGGCAUGCUAAUGGGUGUGUUGAGUGUAGGGGUUGAUUAGCGCCGGCUAACUACGUGCCAGCAGCCGCGGUAAUACGUAGGGCGCGAGCGUUGUCCGGCAUUAUUGGGCGUAAAGGGCUUGUAGGUGGCUGGUUGCGUCUGUCGUGAAAGCUCAUGGCUUAACUGUGGGUUUGCGGUGGGUACGGGCUGGCUUGAGUGCAGUAGGGGAGGCUGGAAUUCCUGGUGUAGCGGUGGAAUGCGCAGAUAUCAGGAGGAAGACCGGUGGCGAAGGCGGGUCUCUGGGCUGUUACUGACACUGAGGAGCGAAAGCAUGGGGAGCGAACAGG